rnacentral:rRNA from 1 species
GAUGAACGCUGGCGGCGUGCCUAAUACAUGCAAGUCGAGCGAACAGACGAGGAGCUUGCUCCUCUGACGUUAGCGGCGGACGGGUGAGUAACACGUGGAUAACCUACCUAUAAGACUGGGAUAACUUCGGGAAACCGGAGCUAAUACCGGAUAAUAUAUUGAACCGCAUGGUUCAAUAGUGAAAGACGGUUUUGCUGUCACUUAUAGAUGGAUCCGCGCCGCAUUAGCUAGUUGGUAAGGUAACGGCUUACCAAGGCGACGAUGCGUAGCCGACCUGAGAGGGUGAUCGGCCACACUGGAACUGAGACACGGUCCAGACUCAUACGGGAGGCAGCAGUAGGGAAUCUUCCGCAAUGGGCGAAAGCCUGACGGAGCAACGCCGCGUGAGUGAUGAAGGUCUUCGGAUCGUAAAACUCUGUUAUUAGGGAAGAACAAAUGUGUAAGUAACUAUGCACGUCUUGACGGUACCUAAUCAGAAAGCCACGGCUAACUACGUG